UAGGACCCAAGCCAAGAGAAUGAUGCCGCC
rnacentral:piRNA from 1 species